UACGUAGGUGUCGAGCGUUGUCCGGAUUUAUUGGGCGUAAAGCGCCCGCAGGCGGCUUGGCAAGUUUGAGGUGAAAUCUCCCGGCUCAACUGGGGAGGGUGCCUCGAAAACUGCCAGGCUUGAGUCAUGGAGAGGGAUGUGGAAUUCCUGGUGUAGCGGUGAAAUGCGCAGAUAUCGGGAGGAACACCAGUGGCGAAGGCGACUACCUGGCCUGUUCUUGACGCUGAGGCGCGAAAGCUAGGGGAGCAAACGGG
rnacentral:rRNA from 1 species